rnacentral:misc_RNA from 1 species
CGCUCGCCGCUCUUCGGUUGGAAGAUCGCCGCGACCAGCGCCGCAGGUCAGGCCCACAUCAAUGUCGACGGCCCGCUCGCGGGAAGGCUGCUCCGCGAAAAGGCGUUUGCGAGCGGCGCUGUGCUGCCGCUUGGCGCGAACCACAUGCGGGUCGCCGAGCCGGAAUUCGCUUUUCGGAUGGCGCGCGACCUUCUGCCGCGCGCAGCGCCCUAUUCUGUCGCUGAAGUCGCCGACGCGAUCGGCGCACUGCAUCCGGCGAUCGAGAUCCCGGAUUCCCGCUACGAGGAUUUCUGCGCCGUCGGCGUGGCGCAGCUCAUCGCCGACAAUGCCUGCGCGCAUCUCUUCGUGCUCGGCGACCCGGCACCCGACAUCUGGCACGAGGUGGAUCUUCGCGC